AGUCUAGAAGCAGAUUCUGGGCCAGGGUCCACAUUUCAAACUAUGCCUGGAGGGACUAACACCUUCCUCAGAGCCUGUGUGCGGGGCUGGAAGAUCUGAUGAUUUUAUGGGCUGUCCUGACAGAGAUUAUUGGAGACUCCUUUGGUCUGCUGAUUUAUAACACUCCUAAACCCUUGAGCUGAUGCCUGAGAGGAGCGGUUGUCUGGGAGGAUUUGGAGGAAGGCACAUGCAUGAAGACGAAUGGCCAUUUAAUCGUGAGUAAGAGAUGAAGAGAUGGGAGGAGGUUUGUCUGGGAGGAGGCAAUGAUCUGGUUGAUGAUUCUUUUGCUUCUAGAGGGAGAUUUUGGAACUACUGGGCAAUGCCUCUGGUACUCUAUUGUUCUUUCAAGCCUCAUCCUGGCCCUGUGGCUUGGGCUCCAAAUUUCCUCCCCUUGUCGUUAUAGAGCAGGCAAGUUGCACAAUAUGUAUAUCAAACCUUGUCUCUCAGACCACACUUCCUUUUUGGUCCCCAAUGAGUAGAAGAAAUAACUCACUAUAGAAAUUGUUAUGCUGGGGGUGUGGCAUAGUGAUGACGAUACUGAUGAUGAUGUUGGCAAAGGAAAUGAACAAAGCAAAAGAGGAAGUCGGCAAAGCCAGGAUGGUGACGGGCACUCUAGCUUUUGGGGAACUUUUCAGCUCUUGACUCACUCAGCACUUUUAAGCUGUAAGGUUCCCUCUGUUCUGACAUCUCAUUCCUCCAAGAUGGAGGCAGGCAUUUCUUCAAAGCUGAAAGUGCCUUGCUACCUGUUUUACUUACUUUCUAUUGCUGUGAUAACCAUGACUACUGUGCAGCCCAGACUGGCUUCAAGUACAUGACAAUUCUCCUGCAUUUGUCUCCCAGGGACUGAGAUUACAGGCACGAGCUCCCAGGCCUGGUUGAUGUAUGUGUUCUACAUCUUCUUUACUUAUCCUCUUGCUCAGAACAGAGCUAAGCAAUGACUGUCCUCACUACUUUCUCCAGACCUUGUCUUAUUCCUUAAGUUGAUGACUUAGCACAGGCCUUAGGGGUCUGUUCUUUCCCUCUCAUCUUUUCUGUCCUGGUUAGUUUUAUGUCAACUAGACACAAGCUAGAAUCAUCAGAGAGAAGGGAGCCUUAACUGACAAAAUACAUCCAAAAGAUCUGUCUGUAGGCAAGCCUGUAGGAAAUUUUAUUAAUUGGUAUUUACUUGGGGAGAAAUCAGCCUGUUGUGGGUGGUGCCAUCCCUGGGCUGGUGGUCCUGGGUUCUAUAAGAAAGUAGGUUGACAAGCCAUGAGGAGCAAGCCAGUGAGCAGCAUCCCUCCAUGAUCGCUGCAUCAGCUCCUGGUUCCAGGUUCCUGCCUUGCUUGAGUUCCUGUCCUGACUUCCUUUGAUGAUAAACUGUGAUGUGGAAAUAUACUCAGUGCUGGUGAGCUGGAGCUGAGAAAUUAGCAGUGACUAAGAAAAGUCCAGCAUUAUUGAGGUGAAAUCUUCUGGGAAGUGUUUUCUGAGAGCACACAGAAGCUGUGUUCCAGAGAUGGCCAAAGUUGUAUUUCUCCACUGGCAGCCAAAUUUGGUCCUGUGGAAGAGCCACCCAGGUGACACUGGUUCAUGGAAGAGCAGCUGAGUCUUGGCACUGACAAUACAGCCUCAGUGGCAGCUGAAGGCCCAGGAUUGAAAGGGUCAUACAGAGAAGUCGAGGCUUGUCACCAUGAAGAGGGCCCAGGAGAGUACUGGUAUAAGUCCAGCCCAGUUGCAGCAGAAGACCCCAGCAUUUUGGAGAUGCAAGUACCAUGGGAUGACCAUCAAGAACAGCAGCAGCAGCAGUGGAGUGGAGCCAGCCAGAUCCUAAAAGACAAGCUGUUUGUGCUACAGAGGGCUGAGCUGCAGAAGUAACUCAAGCCCCUUAGAGGAGCCCAGAAGAUCUUGAGUGCAUCUCUGAUGUUGGAACAUGCACUAUUUACAUUUUUGGAGUUUGGUUUUGCUUUGCUUUGAUUGUGAUUUUGACCUAGUUCUUCUCUCUUGAAAUAUAAUUUAUUUUUGAUUUUACAGAAGUCCAAAGUUGAGAGACUGAAUUUUAAAAGAGAUUGAUUAUUUUAAAGAGAGAGAACUUUUAAUGUAUUUGAAUUUGUGAGUAUUGUGGGACCUUUAAGUUGUUAAUGUUUUAUAUUGUGAUAUAAAUAUUAACAUAACAUCUUGGGAAUAAAUGAGAAAAGAAAGGUUCUAAUUAAAAAGUGAUAAGUUGGGCCUUGAGCUCAGCAAUUUAGAGCACUGGCUGCUUAUCCAGAGGUCCUGAGUUCAAGUCCCAGCACCCACAUGGUGGCUAACAGUGUCUGUAACAGUAGUCCCAUGGGAUUUAAUAAACUCUUCUAGUGUGUAGGAGUACAUGCAGACAAAAACACCCAUAUACAUAAAACAUAUAAAUAAAUAAAUC
ensembl:antisense Il1bos interleukin 1 beta, opposite strand